rnacentral:tRNA from 1 species
GAGUUCACGAGCGGUUACUCGCUGACGGAUUGCAAAUCUGUACAAGUAGGGUUCGACUCGCUAUGAACUCU